rnacentral:rRNA from 1 species
CAGCAGGCGCGAAAACUUUACAAUGCUGGCAACAGCGAUAAGGGGACCUCGAGUGCCAGGAUACAAUCUUGGCUGUCGCGAUGCCUAAAAAGCAUUGCAUAGCAAGGGCCGGGCAAGACCGGUGCCAGCCGCCGCGGUAACACCGGCGGCUCGAGUGGUAACCGCUAUUAUUGGGUCUAAAGGGUCUGUAGCCGGCCGGAUAAGUCUUUUGGGAAAUCCAGCUGCUCAACAGUUGGGCUUUCAGAAGAUACUGUUCGGCUCGAGACCGGGAGAGGUGAGAGGUACUUCAGGGGUAGGGGUGAAAUCUUGUAAUCCUUGAAGGACCACCAGUGGCGAAGGCGUCUCACCAGAACGGAUCUGACGGCAAGGGACGAAAGCUAGGGGCACGAACCGGAUUAGAUACCCGGGUAGUCCUAGCCGUAAACGAUACUCGCUAGGUGUCAGCCACGGUGCGACCGUGGUUGGUGCCGUAGGGAAGCCGUGAAGCGAGCCACCUGGGAAGUACGGCCGCAAGGCUGAAACUUAAAGGAAUUGGCGGGGGAGCAC